CACUUCCGGAUAAGCCAAGCGUCCCUGUUUCCAUCUGAUUUUGCCUUCCAUUUAAGAAAGGUAUUGGGUUCUUAUUAAUCACCGAUCUCUUGUGGUGCAGCUGGCUUCUUGCAGCCAAAUGUCUCCACCUGAAGGCUAAAGCUGCACAUUGCAACCAGGUAUUAACUUUUGAUCAUCGUCAGGAUCCUCAUGGAAGGAGAGAGGCAUUCUGGAGGGCUCCUUCAAGGCACAAACUCACGGGAUAAGAGCAGGGGGCGACUGCAAAGAAGCGAGCAACCGGAAUCAGCUAAUAAAAAGCAAACCGGAAGGAUAGCCAGGCUUCCCCAUCACACAGAAAACCAAUCUCUCCCAUUUCAAGCAUCUCCCAUGCACAAUGGGAAUACAGGCUAAAUUUGAAGAGGCGAGUGACCUUAUCUAAGUAGCAACCUUUCCCACGUCACACUUUUUAUUUCUGCCUUCCUGAGCAGUGGAAGAUUGCUAGUGGUCCUUCUCCCUCAGCAGUCAUGGAAUCAUAGAAUUGUUGAUUUAGAAGGGACCCUAAGGAUCAUCUAGUCCCACCCCCUGCAGGGCAGGAAUAUGCAGCUGUCCUCUACGGGGAUUGAACCUGCAACCUUGGUUUUUAUCAGCACCACACACUAACCAACUGAGCUAUCCAGGUGGUUCAGUUUUUGGAGCCCUACCUGUUGAGCUGUGCCAUUUCCCUUGCAGUUUACCCAAACCCACAUGGCAACACCCAGAUUGGGGGGUCCUCCUUCCCCACAUCACCCCCCUGCUCUGAUUCUACAGUGUUUUAAAUGGGGACUAUUCCCCUUUAAAAAAAUUGUCGCCAUGGGUUAGCCUUGCUCCUCUCACCGGUGAGUUUGAGAUUUCUCUUUUAAGAUUGUCUCGUGUAGGCUAUUUAGACUCCGGAGUGUAGGCUGUUUGUUUAUUUUUAUGCUACCAAACUGUUUUCUCCCUCAUCCCACAUCUUAAUCAAGCAUCUUAAUUUGGAAAUGAGGGUUUAAUUGUAUGCUGCUGCCUUCAGCUCCAUCCUCCGCGUCUCAGCCUUUUAGAUAUUUGAAGAUGGCUAUCAUACCUCAUCUCUGUCUCUUCAUGUUUUUUUGAAAAUGAUAUAAAUACAAAUGCAAUGGGUCUUAUUCCCAGGUAAGUGUGGAUACUGGAAAGCAGCUGUCUGGAAGUUUUGGAUACAGUGGUACCUCGGGUUAAGUACUUAGUUUCGGAGGUCCGUUCUUAACCUGAAACCGUUCUUAACCUGAAGCACCACAUUAGCUAAUCGGGCCUCCCGCUGCUGCUGUCCCGCCGCCGCACAAUUUCUGUUCUCAUCCUGAAGCAAAGUUCUUAACCCGAGGUACUAUUUCUGGGUUAGCGGAGUCUGUAACCUGAAGCAUAUGUAACCUGAGGUACCACUGUACGGUAAAGCAGCCUUUCAGAAGUUUUGGAGUAUAACACUGGAGGGUGGAGUGGGUCACAGCAUUAACAUCCCAAUAGAUCUUGCUUCCCCAUUAGGUUUCCAGGGGAACUCCAAGUGCACCAAAGAGUAAGUUGUGCCUCUGUGUAUUCAGCUUCCAGCAUCAGCCCAACACACUCUCUUACAGCCCUCCCCCCAGCCUAUUGUUCUUCCUCCUUGGAUAACAAGGUACCCAGCCAGGUGGGGUAGGAAAAGACCCACUCCUUUGUCUCUAGGGCAACCUAUUUGAAUUUGUAAAUUCGCAGUACAUUCGUACCUUGGAAGUCGAACGGAAUCCUUUCUGGAGGUCUGUUCGACUUCCAAAGUGCGGCUUCUGAUUGGCUGCAAGAAGCUCCUGCAGCCAAGCGGAAGCUGUGCCAGAUGUUCGAAAAUCGUUUGAAAACCAGAACACUCACUUCUGGGUUUUGAUCGUUCGGGAGCCGAUUUCUUUGGGACAUCUUUCCAAAGGAAAAUCUUGAAAUUAUGUGAGAGCUUUUUAUGGUGGUGCUCAACAUGGGAGUUAAGUUGUGGGUGAACAUAUCAGACGACACAGUGAUUCUUCAAACAGCUCUUGUUUAUUCACAGGCCAGAACAGAACUGACUGAAGGGUUCAGCCAGCCUGCUUAUAUAGAGCUCCACUACAAUGCAACAGUAACCAUUUUCUGUAACUAUCCAAUCACUGUGAACGUCACUUUCAAUCCCUUAUUUGCAUAUGUGGACCUGAGUGAAAACUAUCUACAGUAUCCCCCUGCUGGCCCAGGGUGAGAACUUCAGUACAUAACAGUGGGCCUUUCCCCUUUCAUGCUUUUAGUUACUUUUUUAAAAUAAAAAAAAUCAAGAUCUCUGUG